CUCUGCUGGCAUCAGGCAAGCAGGAUCACAACAACUCACUUUUCCAGUGAAAUAAUCCAUUCAUCAAGGGGAAAUUGAAUCGGAAAGAUGAAGAAAAUGAGGCAGCAAGGCACUGCUCCGAGGUUAAGAAAUGGGGACACUGAGAAAUGGACUAUUUCCUGCCAUAUCAACAA